rnacentral:rRNA from 1 species
CAGCAGCCGCGGUAAUACAGAGGGUGCAAGCGUUAAUCGGAAUUACUGGGCGUAAAGCGCGCGUAGGUGGUUUGUUAAGUUGGAUGUGAAAUCCCCGGGCUCAACCUGGGAACUGCAUCCAAAACUGGCAAGCUAGAGUAUGGUAGAGGGUGGUGGAAUUUCCUGUGUAGCGGUGAAAUGCGUAGAUAUAGGAAGGAACACCAGUGGCGAAGGCGACCACCUGGACUGAUACUGACACUGAGGUGCGAAAGCGUGGGGAGCAAACAGGAUUAGAAACCCCUGUAGUCCCUGUCUCUUAUAC